rnacentral:rRNA from 1 species
UAUUAUUUAAGCAUGGGAUAAUGGAAUAGGACGUGUGGUUCUAUUUUGUUGGUUUCUAGGACNGCCGUAAUGAUUAUAGGGACAGUCGGGGGCAUCAGUAUUCAAUUGUCAGAGGUGAAAUUCUUGGAUUUAUUGAAGACUAACUACUGCGAAAGCAUUUGCCAAGGAUGUUUUCAUUUAUCAGGAACGAAAGUUAGGGGAUCGAAGACGAUCAGAACCGUGGUAGUCUUAACCAUAAACUAUGCCGACUAGGGAUCGGACGAUGUUAUUUUUUGACUCGUUCGGCACCCUACGAGAAAUCAAAGUGCAUGGGCUCCAGGGGGAGUAUGGUCGCAAGGCUGAAACUCAAAGAAAUUGACGGAAGGGCACCACCAGGGGUGGAGCAGGCGGCUUAAUUGGACUCAACACGGGGAAACUCACCAGGUCCAGACACAAUGAGGAUUGACAGACCGAGAGCUCCUUCCAGAUUUAGUGGGUGGUGGUGCAUGGCCGUUUCUAGUUGGUGGAGUGAUUUGUCUGCUUAAUUGCGAUAACGAACGAGACCUUAACGUGGGAAAUAGCCCGUAUCGAUUGGCAGUACGCCGGCUUUUAAGAGGGAAAAUCGGCUCAAGCCGAUGGAAGUUUGAGGCAAUAACAGGUAUGUGAUGCCCUUAGAUGUUNUGGGCCGCACGCGCGAUACCCCGACAGAGCCAGCUUAGUCCUUUCCGUGGUUCUCGGAAG